GAUGAACGCUGGCGGCGUGCCUAAUACAUGCAAGUCGAGCGAACGGACGAGAAGCUUGCUUUUCUGAUGUUAGCGGCGGACGGGUGAGUAACACGUGGAUAACCUACCUAUAAGACUGGGAUAACUUCGGGAAACCGGAGCUAAUACCGGAUAAUAUUUUGAACCGCAUGGUUCAAAAGCGAAAGACGGUCUUGCUGUCACUUAUAGAUGGAUCCGCGCUGCAUUAGCUAGUUGGUAAGGUAACGGCUUACCAAGGCAACGAUGCAUAGCCGACCUGAGAGGGUGAUCGGCCACACUGGAACUGAGACACGGUCCAGACUCCUACGGGAGGCAGCAGUAGGGAAUCUUCCGCAAUGGGCGAAAGCCUGACGGAGCAGCGCCGCGUGAGUGAUGAAGGUCUUCGGAUCGUAAAACUCUGUUAUUAGGGAAGAACAUAUGUGUAAGUAACUGUGCACAUCUUGACGGUACCUAAUCAGAAAGCCACGGCUAACUACGUG
rnacentral:rRNA from 1 species